GUGAGGUGUUUAGGUGACAUCUGUGAGUCUAGGGUCACCACUGGUGCUGAGCAGAGGAAGAAGUGAGCAGGAUACAACAGGAUGUGGACAUGAUCUUGGAUUACGUCGCCCACAGAGAAGUGCCUUUUCUGUCUUAAACACACACACACACACAGACACACACACACACACACACACACACACACACACACACACUUGGUCAUUCUUGCCACAGCAUCAGUGGAGAACAGUUGCAGCGUGACAAGACGACUUCUGAAGAAAAAGAAGGACACCCAUAGGUGCUGCUGAGGACAACACUUUACAGUAGAAGAAGAAGAACGGAGAACUGUCGCUGAACAAACCAAGGCGUCCACGAACCCGGAGGGCGUGAUUUAACAGUGGACCAGGAGGUUUCUGCCAGACACGGGGAGACGAAACAGCCAAACUGAGCAGAAUUUCCGGAUGUGAAGUCGGAUGUUGGAGAGUGAAACACCAGUCGCAGAAGUUUUCCAAACUCCCACCGGGACACGUCUCUACGAAGCAGGAAGCUCGUUGGCGGCGACGAAGGUGUAUCUUUCCCGUGCUAAGAAGCGAGCGUUAGCGCUAGCCCAGCUAAAAAGAAGACGAAGAAGAAGGGGAGCAGCAAGGAAGAGGCUGUGGGGGCAGGAGACCGUCAGGUGCAGAGAGCAGCUCCAGACAAAAACAACAUGUUGAUACAGGUGGAAAUCCAUGAAGAAUACAUGAUGGAAGGGAGAAGCGACGUCUGAAGCGGGUCAGCUGCACAUCGUGAUCGGAUCUCAAUCAGACAUCCUGCAGAUUCAGAGGUUCUGCGGCGGCAGUGUCGUCCACUGGUGCUGGCAUGCUGUUGCCAGGUUGGAGGUUCAUUAGAAGAAAAUUCAUCACCUCACCUUCCUUUGCUUCUAAUGAAGUCCAGCCGGUGCCACCUUCAGGCGUCUGGGGCCCCCAGAGGUUGCAGCUUCAGCGGGUAGAAGCGGCUCAUCACUGUCUGGCUGGUGUUAGUGCCCGCUGCAUGAAGCGCAGCGGGAACACACACUCGCUCACCGGUGGGCGCUGGGACAGGCAGACAAUUAAACAGGUCAGCGUGGGGUAACCUCGGCCGGCCUGCGGGGGGCGGUAGACGCGCAGCUGGAGGUAGCAGGACAGGCGAGAACAGCAACACCUCAGACGGACAUGCUCUCUGUUUCACAGGCAGACACUGAGGGACACACACACACACACACACACACACACACACACACAUGCAUCCAGCCAGCAGGAGAGGAAGAUGAUUAAGAAGUUAGACAGAGGAGGAAGAGGAGCACUUCUGGACACUGACCUCAACUCUGAACCUCUGAAACGACACACAGAGUGUUUCACACCUCGGACCACGAACAUGUUCUAAGUGGGAGGAAAAAAAAAGGCAGCAGAAGAGGAGAAAUUGGCAGGAGAACAAAGAGGGAGGAUUCUGCGGACGAUUCAGAGCUGGAGUCACACUGCCAUCAGAUGGACAGAGGACAGAACUGCAGGGCGCAGUAGGACAGAGGAAGGUGGAGUCUUACACCAACUGAACAGUGAACUCCUCAUGUGUGUUAUAUGUGUGUAUUAUGAAUUCUACGGAAGCCCUCAAUGGCCAGCUCCUGUACAUGCCAUAGUGUCUUCAAGGUUUUCUGCACGAAGGGUUUGAAAUAAAAGUAAAGAAAGAACUGAGGAGAAAAAGUGAAUGAAAUCAGUCAUUUUAACAGCCACUUCCUUCUCAGCUCGGUACGAGGGAACAAUUCAACACGGACGGAAGCCGACGGUCUGUGACAGUGAGCCACUAGCACAGUGUCACAACCCUGAAACUGCAGCAGCUACAUCUCCAUCCAGAUUCAUCAUUGUGGCUCCAAUUCUGACAGAAGUGUCUGUAUUUAUGGUCAUGUUAUUGCAGGUGGACCCCCGGAGGUGCCUGUUGUCUCAUUGAGGCAUAGCGGUCCUCGCUGGAGGGGAAGCACAGGAUGCUCGGCCUGACUGUUGCCAAGGUGAUCCAGAGGAUCUCCUGGGAGGAGUGGAGGCUCCACUGUUGGAGGAGGACACAUGGGGCUGAGGAGACGCUCCUCCUCAUCCAGGAUCUCCACGUCACCCUGGACGUCUCUUACCUGGAUUCUCUCUGCAUCCAGGACACAUGGAGACACAGAGGAGCCUCACCUGCAUUCAGGACCCAGCAGGUGCAGCUGUACACAGAGACAGGUAGACUGACAAAGGGCGGGGUCAGCCUUCUGGUUUCCACUUUAACCACUUCAUCCCAGAUAC